UUACUUUGGGCCGGGCCUUCUCGGACCACCUUCCUCAUCCCGCCAUAGCCAACACCAUCAGCAUCAUUCGCCUUCCGGAUUUCUCGGGCAAAUCCAGAUGCCGCAAGGAAUCCCACAGUUCAAUCUGUCUGCAGGAGGGGAGAAUGCUCAUAAUCACAAUCACAAUCACAAUCAUCAUCAUCAUCAGGAGCAGCAGCAGCAACUGCAGCUGCAGCAUUUCCCAUUCGUUUCCGAUUAUUUGAUGCCAGCAGCAGCCACGAGUACACAAGGAGGUCAACACAACCAAGGUGUUGACUACAACCUCAACUUCACAAUCUC
rnacentral:lncRNA from 1 species